AUUGAACGCUGGCGGCAGGCCUAACACAUGCAAGUCGAGCGGGGUUUUCGGACCUAGCGGCGGACGGGUGAGUAAUGCGUAGGAAGCUGCCCGAUAGAGGGGGAUACCAGUUGGAAACGACUGUUAAUACCGCAUAAUGUCUACGGACCAAAGUGUGGGACCUUCGGGCCACAUGCUAUCGGAUGCGCCUACGUGGGAUUAGCUAGUUGGUGAGGUAAUGGCUCACCAAGGCGACUGUCUUUAGCUGGUUUGAGAGGAUGAUCAGCCACACUGGAACUGAGACACGGUCCAGACUCCUACGGGAGGCAGCAGUGGGGAAUAUUGGACAAUGGGCGCAAGCCUGAUCCAGCCAUGCCGCGUGUGUGAAGAAGGCCUUCGGGUUGUAAAGCACUUUCAGCGAGGAGGAAGGGUGGUGUGUUAAUAGCACAUCAUUUUGACGUUACUCGCAGAAGAAGCACCGGCUAACUCUGUGCCAGCCGCCGCCGUAAUAC
rnacentral:rRNA from 1 species